rnacentral:tRNA from 1 species
ACCAAAAUAGGUUAAUAAAACUAGGGGACUCAUAACCCCCAGUUGCCUAAUUAAGGCUUUUGGUA